GUAGGUGGCAAGCGUUGUCCGGAAUUAUUGGGGGUAAAGCGCGCGCAGGCGGUUCUUUAAGUCUGAUGUGAAAGCCCACGGCUCAACCGUGGAGGGUCAUUGGAAACUGGAGAACUUGAGUACAGAAGAGGAAAGCGGAAUUCCACGUGUAGCGGUGAAAUGCGUAGAGAUGUGGAGGAACACCAGUGGCGAAGGCGGCUUUCUGGUCUGUAACUGACGCUGAGGCGCGAAAGCGUGGGGAGCAAACAGGAUUAGAUACCCUGGUAGUCCACGCCGUAAACGAUGAGUGCUAAGUGUUAGGGGGUUUCCCGCCCCCCUUAGUGCUGCAGCUAACGCAUUAAGCACUCCGCCUGGGGAUACGGCCGCAAGGCUG
rnacentral:rRNA from 1 species